rnacentral:rRNA from 1 species
GGCGCNCGGGUGCGUNNCGCGUGGGAAUCUGCCCUUGGGUUCGGAAUAGCAGCGAGAAAUAGCUGCUAAUACCGGAUGAUGACGUAAGUCCAAAGAUUUAUCGCCCAGGGAUGAGCCCGCGUAGGAUUAGCUAGUUGGUGGGGUAAAGGCCUACCAAGGCGACGAUCCUUAGCUGGUCUGAGAGGAUGAUCAGCCACACUGGGACUGAGACACGGCCCAGACUCCUACGGGAGGCAGCAGUGGGGAAUAUUGGACAAUGGGCGAAAGCCUGAUCCAGCAAUGCCGCGUGAGUGAUGAAGGCCCUAGGGUUGUAAAGCUCUUUUACCCGGGAUGAUAAUGACAGUACCGGGAGAAUAAGCUCCGGCUAACUCCGUGCCAGCAGCCGCGGUAAU